UGUAAACAGAUGAAGAAGGAAUGCCAGUAGCUGUUUCUCCGAUCUGUUCUGCCUUGUAGUAAUCUAUUUAUCCGAUCUGUUCUGCCUUUAAGCAGUCUGUGAUGUGAAACCAAAGUGAUCUGAAUACGACACCAUACUGGAAAAAGACUAAUGCCUCCUCUAAGAUGUGUAGUAGGCAGACGUACGCUAUGUCUUAAUCGUCCGUUUCUACAACAGACUGGCUUUUUGUGUCCAACACAUGAAGUUUUGGGUGUCUGUCCUGUUACCCACAUUGCUUGUUGCUAUCCACCUUUAAAUGACCAGUGUGUUUCAGUCCUCAUCAACAACAUUGAAGACAUUUGUGUUUGUAUGGAGUUAAGAGACACUGGAUCACCUGCUGUUGUUUACAUUGCUCACUUUCCAAAUCACACUGAAAAAGAUUAAUGGUUUUAGUGAUUUUCUGGAUAAAACAGUUGAUACUGUUGGUGUGCAAUUUCUAGACAUUCUUUGGUUGAUUGCUUCCUCAUAAUAAAUGAUAAUUAUUCUGACUGGCA